rnacentral:rRNA from 1 species
CUUUUGCUGGCGACCGGCGCACGGGUGAGUAACACGUAUCCAACCUGCCCUUUACUCGGGGAUAGCCUUUCGAAAGAAAGAUUAAUACCCGAUAGCAUAAUGAUUCCGCAUGGUUUCUAUUAUUAAAGGAUUCCGGUAAAGGAUGGGGAUGCGUUCCAUUAGGUUGUUGGUGAGGUAACGGCUCACCAAGCCUUCGAUGGAUAGGGGUUCUGAGAGGAAGGUCCCCCACAUUGGAACUGAGACACGGUCCAA